AGAAUAUAGGCUCCAAGAAGAUAGAGACAUAUUGGUUUUGCUUGUUGCUGGAUGCCUAACUCCUAGAAAUGCACUUGAAACCAGCUUUAAGAAUGAGGCUUAACCAGUAAAAGUGCUUGCUCGUCUGCAUCCAGAGCCUGAUGCUUUCUGCUGUACUGCUGCUGGUGCUUCAUCGUGUUCCUUAAAGCUCAGUCAAGAGCUGCUUGUGAGAGAGGCGUUAGGCUACCAGGGGCAUCUCAAGUUUCAAGCAACACCACCCAGAUUUCUAUUAAUGGGACUCUUCUGUGCAAGGAAUAUAAGGUGACGUGUUGGCAUAAGGAGAACAUGAGCUGAAAUAUCCCUGAAUUUUUAGAACAAAAAGGUUGAAGUUCAAGUUAUACUUGCUAAGAAAUCAAGUAUUGGAAAAAG
ensembl:lncRNA